AGCUCCACCCGGGUCGUGGGGCGCGAGCGGGAGGAAGGGGUCGUCUGCCCCACCGCCUCCAGGAGCAGGGAGGUGCCCUGCGCAGCUAACGGAGGCCAGCGCAGGCUCAGGGUGAGUGCAGGGGCUGGGCCCCCCGACACCCGGGCCCUGAUGCGGCAGGAAGGACCCCGGGUCCCAGAAGCCAGCCUGCUACCCCCUGGGCCCCCCGACACUCCUGCUCCCACAUGAGUCUGGAUCCCCCCUCCCCACACCUGCCCCCAUGGCCCUGCCCCUGCCUGGGCCAGAUGCAGAGUCCCUGCGCACAGAUGUGUGGGAACAUCAGAAUAGAGCCCUCAGGGGAGGCCUGGUCGCCCGGGGGUUAGCGCCUGCCUUCCCCCAGGCCUGAUCUCCGAGGCCCGGGAUCGAGCCCCGCCUGGGCUCCCUGCACGGGCUGCUUCUCCCUCUGUCUGUGUGGCUGCCUCUCUCGGUCUCUCUGUCUGUGUCUCUUGAGGUCCUCGUAUUGAUCCAAAUAUUUUGAACAUUUAUCCUCUGAGAUUGUUUCUUUAUUGCAUAGUUGGUCCUGUUUGUGUAGGAGACAGGCAGGGAGCUUGAGCGGGAGAGGGAGCCCCAGCUCCUCAAGCCCACGGGGCCCCAGCGCAGGGCCUGCCGGGGCGGGAUCCCAGGCCUCCCGGCGGCUCCCUGCAGGCUGCACGUCCCCUCUGUCCCACCUCAGGGUGCAGGGGCCGCGGCCGGGCAGGGGCAUCAGAUCGUCCUGACCAAGCUCAGCCGGACGGAGCUGCUGGAGCACAAAGUCCGACAACUGCUGCUCGCCUUGCAGCGCAGGGACGUCAUCUACGUCCUCAGCUUCCUGGAAGAUUACCAUCAAUUCGCCACCACGGACGAGGUGCUGGACCUGCUGUUCACCGAGUAUGGGUGCAUCGCAGAUGCGUGGGGUAACAACGAUGUGGUCCUGCAGUGCUGGAAACUGGCCAUCUCCUUCAUGAUGGAAAUAUGGUUGAAUUAUUAUGGGGACGACUUUCAUCAGUUCCCAGAAUUUCCCUCCCUUAUAAAACUCCUCCAAAUACUAAGACAGCACAUGCCAGGCACAGAUGCGCAUCUCCGGGCCCUGCGUCACCUGAGGCAAUUCAGACGCCUCCAUGCAGCGGAGCGAGAGGCUGGGGCUUUGGCCCGAGGAAAACACCCUGAAUCCACUCUGCAGCGCACGCCAGCUCCGACCGUGGGGCCUGCUGCCCCGUGGGGCCUGGCUGCUGGGGCUGAGGGCUUGGCCUGCGAUGAGCCGCCUGCUGGGGAGGCAAAGCCCCUGCAGAUAGUGGUCACUGCUGCCCUGCAGGAGUCCCCUGCACCCCUGGGAGCCCUGGAUGAGGAGCAGGCGCCACCCCCUGCUCUCGAGGUCGUGGAUGUGCCCCAGCCACCACCUAACUCGAUGGAGCAACUGGCCUCGGGGAUGGAGCAACCCGUUGAGCCACCCGAAGAGCCCGCCCCAGCUCCCACUGUGGAGCCUGGGGAAGGUUCAGGGUCUGAAGGGAUAGUGGCUGCUGGAGAUGAGGACCUGGUCAAGGCAGAGAUGCUGGUUCCUGAGGUGAAGGUGGUGCACGUGUUGGUCGAACCUAUGGUUCCUUGCCACGAUGAGGAGGAGCCCCCUGCUCCCAUGGCCACCCCGGAGGAGUAGGCCCUGGUGCCUGCAAUCGGGGUCCCCAGAGGGCCAGACCUGCAACCUGCCUCUGGAACAACCUGCUUUGACCCGUUAGCAGCCCCCUUAGCAGCCCCCUGACCACCUCAGGGGCCCGCCCCAGCUCCCACCGCGGGGCUCGUGAUGGCUGCAGCCCAACAGGGGCUUGCCCUCCCCUGUUAUUUCACUGUUUCUAUAUUUUGAGUUUUUCUUUAACCUUUAACCUGUAUAAUGGCUUAUAGAAUUUUUUUUUUUUUUUUUUUUUUUUUUAGCCAAAUCUCCUUCGUUUAUCUACCCAAGUCCCAUAGUACAAAUCCCUGGCUUAUAGAGUUUUAUUGUAAUAAAGGAUAAGUUAACU
rnacentral:lncRNA from 12 species